GACGAACGCUGGCGGCGUGCUUAACACAUGCAAGUCGAACGGUGAAGCUCCAGCUUGCUGGAGUGGAUCAGUAGCGAACGGGUGAGUAACACGUGAGCAACCUGCCCCUGACUCCGGAAUAAGCGCUGGAAACGGCGUCUAAUACUGGAUACGAGAAGGGUCCGCAUGGGCACUUUCUGGAAAGUUUUUCGGUUGGGGAUGGGCUCGCGGCCUAUCAGCUUGUUGGUGAGGUAAUGGCUCACCAAGGCGACGACGGGUAGCCGGCCUGAGAGGGCGACCGGCCACACUGGGACUGAGACACGGCCCAGACUCCUACGGGAGGCAGCAGUGGGGAAUAUUGCACAAUGGGCGAAAGCCUGAUGCAGCGACGCCGCGUGAGGGAUGACGGCCUUCGGGUUGUAAACCUCUUUCAGCAGGGAAGAAGCGAAAGUGACGGUACCUGCAGAAGAAGCACCGGCUAACUACGUG
rnacentral:rRNA from 1 species